UCUGAUGAUCAUUGUCUUAGGCGC
rnacentral:siRNA from 1 species